rnacentral:rRNA from 1 species
GUCCUCUUGAGGUUUUAUAAGAGGUUUGACCUGCCCGGUGAAUAAUUUAACGGCCGCGGUACUCUGACCGUGCAAAGGUAGCAUAAUCAUUAGUCUUUUAAAAGGAGGCUGGAAUGAAGGGUUUGACGAGGAAUUAACUGUCUCAUUUUUUUUGAAUUUAAAAUUUAACUUUUUAGUUAAAAGGCUAAAAUUUUAUUGGUAGACGAGAAGACCCUAUAGAGCUUUAUAUUUAUUUGAUUAUUUAUAUUAUAUUAUUUAUAAUUAUUUUAUAUAAGUAUUUUGUUGGGGUGACAAAAAUAUAUAAUUAACUUUUUUAUUUACAAUGCAUUGAUUUAUGUAUAUAAGAUCCAUUAUUAUUGAUUUUUAGAUUAAGUUACCUUAGGGAUAACAGCGUAAUCCUCUUCCAGAGUUCAUAUUUACGGGAGGGCUUGCGACCUCGAUGUUGGAUUAAGAUAAUAUUUAGGUGUAGCCGCUUGAAUAAUAGGUCUGUUCGACCUUUAAAUUCUU